UUUCCUCGAGGUCAGGUCAAUGUGAAGAGGUUUACAAAAUUAAUUCAUCAAGUAAAGUAAAAAAUAUAUAUUAUUUUAUAAGUUUUCGAAAUAUUACAGUUUACGAUGACGUCGGGUGUAAUUUCUCGUCUUGUUGGAAGGAAAUAUGCCGAAUUAGCUAAAAGUUGGUCUAAAACUGGAGUUCUUUUUGGUACAACAGGAACAUUAGGGAUUUUAUAUUUUACUGACUGGAAACUAGUUUUACAGUAUCUUCCCUUUUACAACACAAAGUUCAGAGAAGACUCUCCGUAGUUCAGUUAUUAGAUGUAAAAACACAAGUAAAUAAAAAAAGGGUUAUGGCUGCAAUGAAAUGGAAUAUGAUCAUAUUUUAUUCAUCACAAGUAGAUGCUGAGUGAAUUACUGUAACUGUCUUGCAACAUUAUAAUUAACUAGUGUAUACAUUUUCAAGAGAAUAGCAGUCUCGUUCACGAUUGUAUUAGAAAGAAAAGAGAAUAAAUACUGAAAUGUACAACUUAUAAAAUAUA